rnacentral:tRNA from 1 species
GGGUUGUUAGCUCAGUUGGUAGAGCAGCGGACUCUUAAUCCGCGGGUCAUUGGUUCGAUCCCAAUACAACCCACCA